rnacentral:rRNA from 1 species
GGAAAAGAAACCAACCGGGAUUGCCUUAGUAACGGCGAGUGAAGCGGCAAAAGCUCAAAUUUGAAAUCUGGCGUCUUCGACGUCCGAGUUGUAAUUUGAAGAAGGCAACUUUGUAGCUGGUCCUUGUCUAUGUUCCUUGGAACAGGACGUCAUAGAGGGUGAGAAUCCCGUGUGGCGAGGAUCCCAGUUAUUUGUAAAGUGCUUUCGACGAGUCGAGUUGUUUGGGAAUGCAGCUCUAAGUGGGUGGUAAAUUCCAUCUAAAGCUAAAUAUUGGCGAGAGACCGAUAGCGAACAAGUACAGUGAUGGAAAGAUGAAAAGAACUUUGAAAAGAGAGUGAAAAAGUACGUGAAAUUGUUGAAAGGGAAGGGCAUUUGAUCAGACAUGGCGUUUGCUUCGGCUUUCGCUGGGCCAGCAUCAGUUUUAGCGGUUGGAUAAAUCCUCGGGAAUGUGGCUCUGCUUCGGUAGAGUGUUAUAGCCCGUGGGAAUACAGCCAGCUGGGACUGAGGAUUGCGACUUUUGUCAAGGAUGCUGGCGUAAUGGUUAAAUGCCGCCCGUCUU